UGCAUUCACUACUGUAAAUCGCUCUGGAUAAGAGUGUCUGCUAAAUGGCUAAAA
rfam:Salmo salar isolate Sally breed double haploid chromosome ssa07, whole genome shotgun sequence.